GAGUUUGAUUAUGGCUCAGGAUGAACGCUGGCGGCGUGCGUAACACAUGCAAGUUGGACGACGGUGCUAUGAAGUGGUAACACGGAAUGGUAUACGGAGUAGCGGACGGGUGAGUAAAGCAUGAGGAGCUGUCCUGUUGAGGGGGAUAACGUUCGGAAACGGACCCUAAUACCCCAUAGGCCGAGAGGUUAAAGGCAGAGAUGCGCGACAGGAGGUACUCGUGUCCUAUCAGCUGGUUGGUGAGGUAACGGCUCACCAAGGCGACGACGGGUAGCCGGCCUGAGAGGGUGGCCGGCCACACUGGAACUGAGACACGGUCCAGACUCCUACGGGAGGCAGCAGUGGGGAAUAUUGGGCAAUGGGAGGAAUCCUGACCCAGCGACGCCGCGUGAACGAAGACGGCCUUCGGGUUGUAAAGUUCUUUUAUGUGGGAAGAAGGAAGUGA
rnacentral:rRNA from 1 species